AAAAAAAAAAACCCCCACAAAACAACCCAGUGAGAAUGGCUGUGGUUACAUUCUGUCAGGAAAAUUCACAACAGAAUGCAGGGUUAUCACUGCAAUAUCAGAAGUAGAUUUAUGGUCAGCAAAAGCACUGCAAGGAAAAGAACGGGUUGGAGUUUGCUGACAGUUUCUAUAUUGUCACUCUGAAGAACAUUGAACAUGCACUGGAUUUUAAUUUCAGUCUUAAUUUUAGGGAAAUGAAUCCCACUGAUGGCUAUUAGCAGCAAAUUCACUGCAUGUGCAGUGGCACUUGCCACACAAAUCCAAAAACAGUCUUCGAAGCGUUCUUCUAAGAUAACGAACCGAAAGACAUUUUCCCGAAAAUUGGCAAUCCUUUCUGUGAGGUGAUGAAGUUUCACAGCAGCCAUGAAGCUGGUGACUCCAAGUACUACAAAUCCACCUGCAACAAAAUGAAGGAAAAAAUCUCAGAAGAGUUCAACAAAGAGGCAAGGGCAGAGGCAGAGGAGUGGCAGAGCAAAACUUGGCAUGGAAAAAGUCACUCAAGGGGUAAGUAUGAUUUACAGGGUUAUCUCCAAAUGACUUUCACCCCCUUCACAAAGCUAAAAGAAAACUCUCCAUCUAUCCCUAGGGAUCUUUUUCCCCAGCUUGAUUCUAGGAUUACAGAAUCUAACUGUAGCAAAAGGCAUUCAUGAAAUGAUAGAAAUUUUAUAUUCACACUCCAAAUGUCAAACCAUAAAGACUACAUAUUUAUUUAAUAAUACAAAUUUGCAUUCUGCAAGUUCUGUAAACAAAAAGAAUAGAAUGUUAAAUUUGAACUAGAUAUUAGACUAAACAUUCAACCAAAAUUGUACUUACUUGUGAAUUUGGAACGCCGCCCGCCCAAGCCACAUUGGCGUAUUUUGCCGCCCCGAAAGAGACCGUAGUAAAUUUCUCCAAUGAACUUGACCAGCUCUGGAUCUGUGGCAUUGACCAAAUCAGCUCCUGUUUUGCAAAGGAUCUUUCCAGUCAUCCACUUUGGGAUCCCCAUUGCAACAACAAUCAAGAUAAAAGACACAAAACUUAUUAGAGAAGCCAAGGCAAAUAAUGUCUUUUUAAAGCAGCCAGGCAUCCUAGUGCUUUCAAGGGAUCAUCUCCAAGCCCUCUCUGCGGGAGUCAGACGUAUUUCCCAUUUUU